AGAUGGAAAUGCAGAAAUCACCCGUCUUCUGCGUCGCUCACGCUGGGAGCUGUAGACCGGAGCUGUUCCUAUUCGGCCAUCUUGGCUCCUCCGCCUCAGAGCCAGGUGCAAGUUGAUAAAAGAAUUCUGGAAAUUGAAGGCCAAGGAAGAGUGACUCAAAAAUAAGAAGCAGGCUGAAAAAUGAGAUGAGGAGACCGAGGCUCGGAGAGGCUUAUGCAUUUGCCCAAGACUCUACAACUCCACAACUUAACAGGCAAUUGCAUCUAGCAUAUAAUGUGUUGGUUAUCCCCAGAACACAGAGCAGUGCAUCUCCACAGCGAGAAUUCCAGAACAGCUCCUUCACGUUGCUUUCGCUUAGCUGGCGUGUGUGAGGAUGAAUGAAGAGAGUUAAAAGCCUCCCAACCUCUGGCGCGCUGGAACAGUUCCCUGAAUGUGGGGCUGCUGUGAACUGCUGUCAUCGCAACAUCUAUCAAAAACAUCUCUUGCCCCCAGGACACGACAGAGUUUUGAAAGUGUUUCUGCCCUACGUUGCUUAUGCAGAUACUUGGGAGAGAGCUUCCUCCAUUUCUGUCUGGUUUUUGGACAAAUUCUUCAGAUUGUAAGAUGUUCAGCAUUCUGGGUUGUUUGACUGUGGAAACGCACGGGAGCUCUUGCGGUGUAGACUCUAGCCCCAGUUCUAUUGCCAAUCUGUCAGGGCCCUAGCAGGCAUCACUGCUGUUCUUUAAGACUUACUCUUGCCAACCUCCUGUUGCACCUCUGGAAACAGGACGAGAAUGAUUUUUUCUGCCAGUGAGUUGAGAAAAGUUGUCACACUGAAAGUACCAACUGAAUAAGGUCAGAGAAUCAAGGAAGCAAGUGCCUGUGGAGGUUGAUGAAUCAACAGAAAAAUAUUACCAUAUUGGAUGUCCACCCGCCUAUGUUUAAAUCUUCAUCUGAGAAAGGGGUGAAGUGUUGGAAAGCAUUUAAAAUCUGCAAAGAUGGGAAAUGAGAUAACGACCUGGGUCCUCUGGGACAGGACAUGCCAGUGCUGGUUCUUGAGAGGACAGCUGCUCCAACAGCCGGGCUCUCCAGAAUAUGCCGCCGUGGGCUUCGGCCUGGCAGCAGGGCCCCUGGAGGAGCCUGGCACCCAACAGGCGCUCUGUAAAUAUUUGGGAAGUGAGUGGACGAGUGACUGUCCCUGGUUUGGGCUGGUGCCAUUUAGAGGGCAACCAGAGUGCAGGGAAGGGAGGAGCUUGGGCAAGAGGGACAUUGCUGUCGCUGGUUGAUGGUGAGAUGGCACUUAAUGAGAACCUGGUCAUUGGGAAAGCCCCAAGCCUGCGUCUUGCUGUGAUGCCUUCCCCAUUAUGAAGGGUCCAUUGGCAUGGGAGUGGGGAGACCUGGACUCAGAGAAGCUACAAGGGCAAGGGUGGAAAGGCAUAGCUUCUGCAAGUUGAUGCUGAAAAAGAUCCAAGACUCAUAUUCAGCAGACAGCCCAUAACCAAGAGCCAAGGAAAACUUUGCCUCUGCUUCUUCUACUGGACUCUCUUGGGCUAUCCUUUCAUGUCUUUAUUUUUCUCAAAAUAGCUCUAUGUUCCUUUCUUUAAAAAUUAAAAUAUAGCAAAAUUGACUUUCGGGGGUUUUAUAGCUCCAUGAGCUUUAACAUAUAUGUAGGAUCAUGUAACCACUACUAUUAUCAGAAUACAGUACAGUUCCAUGACCCCAAAGAACUCCUUCAUGCUACUACUCCCUUUGUAGUCAUACUCUCUCCAUAUUUCUAACCCCGGCAACCAAUGAUCUUUUCUCUAUUACUAUAGUUUUAUCUUUUUGAGGAUGUCAUAUGAAUGAAUUUAUACAGCAUGUAAUUUUCUG
rnacentral:lncRNA from 1 species